AUUGAACGCUGGCGGCAGGCCUAACACAUGCAAGUCGAACGAGUGGCGGACGGGUGAGUAAUGUCUGGGAAACUGCCUGAUGGAGGGGGAUAACUACUGGAAACGGUAGCUAAUACCGCAUACCAUCAGAUGUGCCCAGAUGGGAUUAGCUUGUUGGUGGGGUAACGGCUCACCAAGGCGACGAUCCCUAGCUGGUCUGAGAGGAUGACCAGCCACACUGGAACUGAGACACGGUCCAGACUCCUACGGGAGGCAGCAGUGGGGAAUAUUGCACAAUGGGCGCAAGCCUGAUGCAGCCAUGCCGCGUGUAUGAAGAAGGCCUUCGGGUUGUAAAGUACUUUCAGCGGGGAGGCGUUACCCGCAGAAGAAGCACCGGCUAACUCCGUGCCAGCAGCCGCGGUAAUAC
rnacentral:rRNA from 1 species